UACGAAGGGGGCUAGCGUUGCUCGGAAUUACUGGGCGUAAAGGGCGCGUAGGCGGUGUGUCAAGUCAGGCGUGAAAGCCCCGGGCUCAACCUGGGAACCGCGCUUGAGACUGGCACGCUCGAGUUCGGGAGAGGAUGGUGGAAUUCCCAGUGUAGAGGUGAAAUUCGUAGAUAUUGGGAAGAACACCGGUGGCGAAGGCGGCCUGCUGGGCAGUAGCUGACACUGAGGCGCGACAGCGUGGGGAGCAAACAGG
rnacentral:rRNA from 1 species